rnacentral:rRNA from 1 species
GAUGAACGCUGGCGGCGUGCCUAAUACAUGCAAGUCGAGCGAACAGACGAGGAGCUUGCUCCUCUGACGUUAGCGGCGGACGGGUGAGUAACACGUGGAUAACCUACCUAUAAGACUGGGAUAACUUCGGGAAACCGGAGCUAAUACCGGAUAGUAUAUUGAACCGCAUGGUUCAAUAGUGAAAGACGGUUUUGCUGUCACUUAUAGAUGGAUCCGCGCCGCAUUAGCUAGUUGGUAAGGUAACGGCUUACCAAGGCAACGAUGCGUAGCCGACCUGAGAGGGUGAUCGGCCACACGGGAACUGAGACACGGUCCAGACUCCUACGGGAGGCAGCAGUAGGGAAUCUUCCGCAAUGGGCGAAAGCCUGACGGAGCAACGCCGCGUGAGUGAUGAAGGUCUUCGGAUCGUAAAACUCUGUUAUUAGGGAAGAACAAAUGUGUAAGUAACUAUGCACGUCUUGACGGUACCUAAUCAGAAAGCCACGGCUAACUACGUG